UACAGAGGUCCCAAGCGUUGUUCGGAUUCACUGGGCGUAAAGGGUGCGUAGGUGGCCUGGGAAGUUUGAUGUGAAAGCUCGGAGCUUAACUCCGAAAUGGCAUUGAAUACUCCCGGGCUUGAGGGUCGGAGGGGAGACUGGAAUUCUCGGUGUAGCAGUGAAAUGCGUAGAUAUCGAGAGGAACACCAGUGGCGAAGGCGAGUCUCUGGACGAUCCCUGACACUGAGGCACGAAAGCUAGGGGAGCAAACAGG
rnacentral:rRNA from 1 species